rnacentral:rRNA from 1 species
AGCCUGGUUAUUAUAGCGGCGGGGCCACACCCGUUCCCAUACCGAACACGGCAGUUAAGCCCGCCAGCGCCGAUGGUACUGCACUCUGUGUGGAAGAGUAGGUCGUUGCCAGGUUCC